UUGAACGCUGGCGGCAGGCUUAACACAUGCCAGUCGAACGGUAGCAGGAGAAAGCUUGCUUUCUUGCUGACGAGUGGCGGACGGGUGAGUAAUGCUUGGGAAUCUGGCUUAUGGAGGGGGAUAACGACGGGAAACUGUCGCUAAUACCGCGUAGUAUCGGAAGAUGAAAGUGCGGGACCGCAAGGCCGCAUGCCAUAAGAUGAGCCCAAGUGGGAUUAGGUAGUUGGUGGGGUAAAGGCCUACCAAGCCUGCGAUCUCUAGCUGGUCUGAGAGGAUGGCCAGCCACACUGGAACUGAGACACGGUCCAGACUCCUACGGGAGGCAGCAGUGGGGAAUAUUGCGCAAUGGGGGGAACCCUGACGCAGCCAUGCCGCGUGAAUGAAGAAGGCCUUCGGGUUGUAAAGUUCUUUCGGUAUUGAGGAAGGAGUGUAUGUUAAUAGCAUACAUUAUUGACGUUAAAUACAGAAGAAGCACCGGCUAACUCCGUG
rnacentral:rRNA from 1 species